AUUUAAUCCUUGUUUGUCCAUUAGUUCCCAUCUCUUCAGGGCGGGGUAGAGCAGCUUGGUAGCUCGCAAGGCUCAUAACCUUGAGGUCACGGGUUCAAAUCCUGUCUCCGCAA
rnacentral:tRNA from 1 species